CUGUGACCUGUUUUUUCCCCUCCCUGUGCAGCAGCAAGGGUUUUUUUUCCUCACAUAAAUCCUAAUUCAUAUUACAGUACUGCUACCAGUGCCAAGCUGCAGCAACCAAAACUGUUAGUCCUCAGUUUUCAUUUCCCAUUUCUUUUUUUGCCUUCCUUUUCUUCUUCGUCCCCAGUGGAAAUUUCUCAAAGUCGUCGAUCAAUGCCUGCUCGUUUGAGAGAGUUUGUGUUCUGAAUAAAACUCAAGUGCCAAGAAAGUUAAAGGGAGCCGUACACCACAAAGUGCCAGUUCUGUGAGUAAUGGAAAGUAUUCUAAACUAUGUGAGAGAAAAUGUGAAUGAGAGUACAGACCCUGCAAGACAACAGGUAGGAAGGCAUGUUUUAUUGCAUAGCCAUGGCUCUUUUCCUGGUUGACAGUUUUACGCAACGGCGUUCUUUAGAAAGAGAGUCUUCAACAGGACGGUUUUCUGUCUUGUUACCUUGUC